ACCUGGAGUGGACGGGUGGGCAAGCGUUACGGCAAUGUUCUUCCAACGUUGUGGGUUGGCAUGACUGACCCUCUGUUUACAAUAGCAACAAUUAUAACUGGGCAGUUCUGUGUUUCUGAGAUUGUUACAUACAGGCAUUCCUUCCCAUCUCAAGUCUAAGAAACACCACUAUCAUGUGAGGAAGAGGAGGAAGUCCGAGCCAGAACCUGAACCAGCCAGCGACCAGCCCCAGGGGACUACUCCACCUCCCACCCCUACUACAGAUGGCCCUACCCUGGGUAACUCCACUACUCUAGCCCCUGGCUCAGCUGAGGCCUGUGGAGAACCAGAGUCCCCAGGUACCAGUUCUACUGAGAAAGAAGCCCCAGUUCUAUAGGAGAGGAGAUAUGAUUCACUACUAAAAGCCCCUAUGAUCAGUAUUGCAGGUGGAACAGUCUUUUUGGCCUCAUCUUGUGCCCUGCUUGUCGGAUUGACUCCUAUUAAAUCAGAAAGAUAAAAAGGAACAAUCAAGGAAACUUGAUUGAUGAUGGAUUAUCUGAGGACAACACUGAGACCAGGGAUAAGUCAGUCUCUUGACGACGUCACCACUAUGACAUCAUCACUCAUGUCUAUGACUUCAUCAUUGUUUGACCCAAGUUCAUGGAUUGGUCGGUUUGGUUCCUUAUUUUCUGAAGUGAAGUUUGAUCCUAAUGUGACAGAACUCUCAAAUGGAAUCACAGUUGAUGUUUUACAGCAGGGUUCAAUAAGACCGACCGUCUCUGUCCUUGUCAGGUAACCGUCUUGUAACACACUGUAUGGCACUGCUGUGUUUGGAACGAGAUGUAUGUGUGUCUGCAUUGUAAUUAUUGUAAUUAAAGAUGCAUUUUUUUUAUGA